ACGAGAAAGUGGAGCAAUCCAUGAGUNCNGUGGCGUACGGGUGAGUAACACGUGACUAACCUACCCUCGAGUGGGGAAUAACCUAGGGAAACCUGGGCUAAUACCGCAUAAUGUCCUCGGACCAAAUGCGCAAGCAGCUUGAGGAGGGGGUCGCGGCCGAUUAGCUAGUUGGCGGGGUAACGGCCCACCAAGGCAAUGAUCGGUAGCCGGCCUGAGAGGGCGCACGGCCACACUGGAACUGAAACACGGUCCAGACUCCUACGGGAGGCAGCAGUGGGGAAUUUUGCGCAAUGGGGGAAACCCUGACGCAGCAACGCCGCGUGGAGGAUGAAGCCCCUUGGGGUGUAAACUCCUUUCGAUCGGGACGAUAAUGACGGUACCGGAUGAAGAAGCACCGGCUAACUCUGUGCCAGCAGCCGCGGUAAUACAGAGGGUGCAAGCGUUGUUCGGAAUUAUUGGGCGUAAAGGGUGCGUAGGCGGUGCGGUAAGUCUGUUGUGAAAUCUCCGGGCUCAACUCGGAGCCUGCAACGGAAACUGCCGUGCUCGAGUAUGGGAGAGGUGAGUGGAAUU
rnacentral:rRNA from 1 species